rnacentral:rRNA from 1 species
CUCAGCAUAUCUAUUAAGCGGAGGAAAAGAAACCAACAGGGAUUGCCUCAGUAACGGCGAGUGAAGCGGCAAAAGCUCAAAUUUGAAAUCUGGCCCUUUCAGGGUCCGAGUUGUAAUUUGCAGAGGAUGCUUCGGGAGCGGCGGCGGUCUAAGUCCCCUGGAACGGGGCGUCAUAGAGGGUGAGAAUCCCGUCUUGGACCGCAUGCCCGUGACCGUGUGAAGCUCCUUCGACGAGUCGAGUUGUUUGGGAAUGCAGCUCAAAAUGGGUGGUAAAUUUCAUCUAAAGCUAAAUACUGGCUGGAGACCGAUAGCGCACAAGUAGAGUGAUCGAAAGGUUAAAAGCACCUUGAAAAGGGAGUUAAAUAGCACGUGAAAUUGUUGAAAGGGAAGCGCUUGCAACCAGACUCGGCCGCAGAGGCUCAGUGGGCACGUGUGCCCAUGCACUCCUCUGUGGUCGGGCCAGCAUCAGUUCUGACGGCCGGUCAAAGGCCCCCGGAAUGUAUCCUCCUCCGGGAGGUCUUAUAGCCGGGGGUGCAAUGCGGUCAGUCGGGACUGAGGAACGCGCUUCGGCACGGAUGCUGGCGUAAUGGUUGUAAGCGACCCGUCUUGAAACACGGACCAAGGAGUCUAACAUCCACGCGAGUGUUAGGGUGUCAAACCCUUGCGCGCAGUGAAAGCGAACGGAGGUGAGAUCCCCGCAAGGGGCGCAUCAUCGACCGAUCCUGAAGUCUUCGGAUGGAUUUGAGUAAGAGCGUGGCUGUUGGGACCCGAAAGAUGGUGAACUAUGCCUGAAUAGGGUGAAGCCAGAGGAAACUCUGGUGGAGGCUCGCAGCGGUUUCUGACGUGCAAAUCGAUCGUCAAAUUUGGGUAUAGGGGCGAAAGACUAAUCGAACCAUCUAGUAGCUGGUUCCUGCCGAAG